AGGUCGAUGAUGAGAACUCACAUUGUCUUGAAGGGAGAUGAUGUAAAAAUCAUUCAUCAUAGGGUUUUCUGAGGCCC
ensembl:snoRNA SNORD115 Small nucleolar RNA SNORD115